rnacentral:tRNA from 1 species
GGGGCUGUAGCUCAGUUGGGAAGCGGUCGCAUCGACAGGUCAAGGGUUCGAUCCCCUUCAGCUCCA